rnacentral:rRNA from 1 species
AUUGAACGCUGGCGGCAGGCCUAACACAUGCAAGUCGAGCGAGCGGCGGACGGGUGAGUAAUGUAUGGGGACUGCCCGAUAGAGGGGGAUAACUACUGGAAACGGUAGCUAAUACCGCAUACUAUCGGAUAACCCAUAUGGGAUUAGCUAGUAGGUGAGGUAAUGGCUCACCUAGGCGACGAUCCCUAGCUGGUCUGAGAGGAUGAUCAGCCACACUGGGACUGAGAAAGGGCCCGACCUCCAACGGAGGCAGAAGUGGGGAAUAUUGCAAAAGGGGCGAAAGCUGGAGGCAGACAUGCCGGGUGUAUGAAGAAGGCCCUAGGGUUGUAAAGUACUUUCAGUCGGGAGGCGUUACCGACAGAAGAAGCACCGGCUAACUCCGUGCCAGCAGCCGCGGUAAUUC